ACUCAAAUUGGGGAUAGGGAGAUAAUCCAGUGAGAAAAGUAGUCUGGGAUCCAAACCACUGUGAUUUCUAGUAACUGGAGAAUUGAGCUGUAACAGACUGCAGAGCAUCUGUGUGUUGGUCUGCCCAUGAGAGACACAGCUUCCUUUAAGCUGCCCGGACCACAGGCUCCAAAAGGUCCUGUACUAACCUUAGGAUAACAUAACUGUUGACUCCCUGAGACCCUCCAUGUUGCCUAAGCAAGGGGGAUGUGCGUGAGGGCUGAGUUCCCAGAGUGGGUGCUGGGAGCGCAGUGUGAGAGCGUGCGAUGCUGUGCAGAAACACGGCUUAAGGUCAGACUCGCCUCUAAAGCUUCCUCAGAAUCCCAAAUCCUCUUUUUAUAAGAGUUUCACUCAAACACAAACAAUUAAAGAAUUUCAUCUUCUCCUCCUAUGGUGGGAAAGCCUGGAUGCUCCUCUGGUCUCUAAACUUUAUUAAAUAGCUCAGAGCCUUCCCUCGGUGAGGGUCCUGCUUGGCUUCAGACAACCCGGAUCUUUGUGUUCAAUGCAAAUAAAUUGGUCACUGAUGCCAGUUGGCAGCAGGGAAGAGAAAUCACACAGCCUGUUGCAGAGAAGGGAGCUGCGAGCCUCACGGCUGCUGAUAGGGUUGGAGUCGUUUGCCAAGGACCCCCGUCAACGGCAGCAGCUUUUCAGAGACCUCAGUGUGUGCUAUUGCACAUCUCCACUCUCCACCUCUCUUUAUGCUUCCCCUCCUAGGGACAACACCUAUGCCAGCCUCUGAGCUCAAGCACUCGAUGUUCUGAUGCCUGCCUGGGGCACAGGGAGAUGAUUUUUGUCAUUUUAAUGUUGGAAUUUGCCCCAUUAAUAGCAGUGGUCUGAUGGAACGAGCAGAAACUCUCCCCCUGAACUGAUUGCUCUGGAGGCCAGCGGCUCUCUCAUCACCAGGACUUUGUCAGAGCGUGCAGUAUGCUAACAUCCUGCCAGCUCACCUUUCUCUAAGCGUUAGUCCCACCAGUGCAAAUAAGGAGUCUGCUACAUGUCUGCUGGUUUCUCCCUGGUGCACUGAGGCAAAGCAGCCCUUCCUUGUCAGUCAGUGACCAAAAAUGUUGAUUCUGGAACAACUGAUUGUGCUGGCUGUAAAGGAUGCCAAAACCUCUUGAAAGCUGGGAGGCAAAGGUGUUUUCUUUUUAAAUGAAUUUAGCUGUAGAAGGAAUUUCCCUGAGAGCUUGUUUGAUAUCUGGAAUAGAAAUGGCUUUCCUUCUCCAUCUCCACCCACUCAGCCCUCAGAGCCACAUCCAGGGAGCCUUUGGACACAAUUCUCCUCUCAACAUUCCCUGCUUUGGAGUACCUCUGUGUUUAUUUCUAGACAGCUGAUGGAUGUUCCAGGUGAGUCCAACUGGAAUGUGCUUGCUGGGUUGGUGUCAUGGAUUUAGUGCAGCCUAGGGAGGGCUUCUCAGUUGCAGAGCACAUUUUCUGUUGGAUCAGACAUUUGUGGCAGGGCUGAGCUGAAAGAAAUUCGGUCCAGUUUGGUUAAACUGCCUGUUCAAAUCACAGCCAGCUCCUGAGCUGCUUGUUGAAGCUCAGGUCUGGUACAUCCCACUUGAUGUAAGCGCUCCCUGGUUCCCUGGGAGCCACCCCUGCUCAGUUUAGCAGCUUCCCCCUUUCCCUCCCCAUCAGCAGGCCAAGGGGGAUUUCUGGCCAGCUCCAGGCCCCAGGGUCACCCAGAUACCUCCUGCCUCCCUUGCCAAACACAGCUGUGCAAAAGGAAGGUACAUCCCAAGCACUGUGCACGCCCAAAGCAGCACGGAGCUGUCAUAUUGCUAAAUGCUGCCAUGUGUGAUAGAGGCAGGACCUUGCAAGGCAAAAGGCAUUUUGCUGACACAUAGGAGAGCAACCCCAUGGUAAGAGUGGCUUUUAAGAAACAAGUAUGAAGGAGAGGAGUGGUAAACCCAGCUCUACCUGUACCCAAAGACACAGGUAGCACCUGGUGGCACUGAUAAAGCUGGUGCUGUGAGCCUUAGCUCCCAUAGGAAACAGGACCUCUACCAGCAUCCGUAAGUAAGUAUCCCCCUGUGUCUUUACACACUUAAAUACCUUUGCAAACCUGGCUCCUUGCCUGUUUCCCACACUGGGCUGCUGCUGCUUUACUUGUGCACAGCAGCAGGAGCAAGGAGCUCAGCUGUAAUUUGGGGUUGUGUUGUGCUAAGCGCUGUACAGGCGCAGAACAAAAGACCUCUGACCGCUUCCCAGCAUCCAGCUCUUGUUGUUUCAAAAACAACCCUCCCCGUUUCUCUGUUUUUUUUACUUUUAUUCAUUGUUUUCUUGCUUCCUUUAUAUUCCUGGUGCCUCCAAGCUAGAAUACCUUUGCUGGGCUCCUGAGGGAGCCAGGCCAAGCCACAUGGAAAGGGCUUUUUACCUGUGUCCCGCUUAUCUAUAAGAGGGUCGGAACGUGUGUGUAUCCCAUUAACUCUGUCCUCGCUGCUCUCAAGAUGUUCCGCACAAAUGAUUUUAUUUUUUUGUGAAACAGAAAUUUGGCAAAACACAACCUGUUCCUGGGCGCCUAAGAGCUACAGAAUCCAGCUCCCAAAGGAAGCCAUAAAGUGCCAUUGUAUGCCUACUGAGCCUGAUGAAACACCAGAGGAAAUGAUCCCAAGUGAAGGUCUUUGCCAUUUCUCACACCUCUGGUUCUCUGAUCCACCCUCUUUGUGUCUCUGGGUUGGCUACAAAUGGGGAGAGAACAGUCCUGGAAAGGCUGUGCUUCAGAGAACAACUGGAGAUGUUCAGAUAUGAGCCUUAUCUGCCUUGCAUUGAGAGCAUCAUUAGAGGAAGACCAGAGUGGACUCCACCACCCAGCCUCACCUUGCUGGCACUACAGGUUGUACCGUGCAGCCUUGGCCCGCACCCCUCCUCCAGGGCCUUAUUGCAUAAAGCCCACCACCCAGGGUGGUAUGGGCCCUACCUUGCCUCAGGGGCACUGCUGCAUUCCCUGCCUUCCCACCCAGCCCUUCCCCACCCACCCAACAUCACCUGAGUCCUCGGGACAUCUACAGCAGCUUCCUACAGGAAUGUCAUGUCGGGAAGGCAUUUAAAGCCUUUGUAGCUCUAAUGCCAUGUAAACAAGGAGGUAAGCCCACCCCACCCCACCACUCCAAAGCCCUUUUGAUGUUGAUUUCUUUUAUGGCCACCAGUCACACUUUGGGAAUGGGGCUCCUACGGGAGAGCUGGUCCCUGCACCAACCCGUCUGCAGUCCUGCUGCCUGCUCCUGCCUAGCACCCAGCUCUUGGAGCCCUCGCUGGCUUCUGAGCCAAGACAGGGUGUCCCUGGGAGCUUUGCCUGUAUAAGGGCUGCAGCGUCUGGCACGUUGUCUGGAAAGCGCUGUGUAAAUAGGAGGGACAAUUAUCACAGCCCUUUCCCGAAAGGAAAUUCCAUAUUGGCACCGAGCGGCAGGAUAGGAUGGCAGAGCAGGCUGGGCUGUGCGCAGGGCUCUGCCCUCCUCCGGCAGCCUCUGACAGCAUGGGGAGGGAAACCGGCUCUUUGAUGGGACAUGCUGCUCUAGUGGAAGCCCAUAUGGUACUGAGCGAUCUGUGCUGAAUGCCCCUGUUAUCCACACGCCCCUGUCACCGCCCCGCUGCCUCUACCCUCCCCUCGGGCCCCCUCCCUGAUGCAGAGGUUAAAUAAAAUAUCAUUUCCUUCUGAUUUAGCCUUUGUCUUUGGCAAUCAAAAUGCCCUUCAGGCCCCUGUGGAUUCAACCUUCCAGGUCAGGGGAGGAUAUGGGAAACCCCUUCCCAGGCGUUUCACUGUAGAUAA